AGUGAAUAGAUACCCGGGUAGUCCUAGCCGUAAACGAUACUCGCUAGGUGUCGGCCACGGUGCGACCGUUGUCGGUGCCGUAGGGAAAGCCGUGAAGCGAGCCACCUGGGAAGUACGGCCGCAAGGCUGAAACUUAAAGGAAUUGGCGGGGAGCACCACAACGGUGGAGCUUGCGGUUUAAUUGGAUUCAACGCCGGAAAUCUUACCGGGUACCGGACAGCAAUAUGAAGGCCAGGCUGAAGACUUUGUCCGGAUUAGCUGAGAGGUGGUGCAUGGCCGUCGUCAGUUCGUACUGUGAAAGCAUCCUGUUAAGUCAGGCAACGAGCGAGACCCACGCCACAGUUGCCAGCGUACUCUCUGGAGUGACGGGUACACUGUGGGGACCGCCGCUGCUAAAG
rnacentral:rRNA from 1 species